rnacentral:rRNA from 1 species
CAGCAGCAGCCGCGGUAAUACAGAGGGUGCGAGCGUUAAUCGGAUUUACUGGGCGUAAAGCGUGCGUAGGCGGCUUCUUAAGUCGGAUGUGAAAUCCCUGAGCUUAACUUAGGAAUUGCAUUCGAUACUGGGAAGCUAGAGUAUGGGAGAGGAUGGUAGAAUUCCAGGUGUAGCGGUGAAAUGCGUAGAGAUCUGGAGGAAUACCGAUGGCGAAGGCAGCCAUCUGGCCUAAUACUGACGCUGAGGUACGAAAGCAUGGGGAGCAAACAGGAUUAGAUACCCCAGUAGUCCCUGUCUCUUAUAC